GCGCAGGAAAAGAAACCAACAGGGAUUACCUCAGUAACGGCGAGUGAAGCGGUAACAGCUCAAAUUUGAAAUCUGGCCUCACGGUCCGAAUUGUAAUUUGUAGAGGAUGUUUCGAGCAUGGUCUGGCCUAAGUUCCUUGGAACAGGACGUCAUAGAGGGUGAGAAUCCCGUAUGCGGUCAGGUGCCUACGCUCAUGUGAAACUCCUUCGACGAGUCGAGUUGUUUGGGAAUGCAGCUCAAAAUGGGUGGUAAAUUUCAUCUAAAGCUAAAUAUUGGCCAGAGACCGAUAGCGCACAAGUAGAGUGAUCGAAAGAUGAAAAGCACUUUGGAAAGAGAGUUAAACAGUACGUGAAAUUGUUGAAAGGGAAGCGCUUGCAACCAGACUUGCACGCAGCUAAUCAUCCGGUGUUCUCACCGGUGCACUUGGUUGCGUUCAGGCCAGCAUCGGUUUCGGCGGUGGGAUAAAGGCCUUAGGAAUGUAGCUGCUCUCGGGCAGUGUUAUAGCCUAGGGUGCAAUGCCGCCUGCUGGGACCGAGGACCGCGCUUCGGCUAGGAUGCUGGCGUAAUGGUUGUAAGCGGCCCGUCUUGAAACACGGACCAAGGAGUCUAACAUCUAUGCGAGUGUUUGGGUGUCAAACCCAUACGCGUGAUGAAAGUGAACGGAGGUGAGAACCCUUAAGGGUGCAUCAUCGACCGAUCCUGAUGUUCUCGGAUGGAUUUGA
rnacentral:rRNA from 1 species